GUCGGGAGCGCCGGACGGAUUGUCCAUUACUACGUGAGUGGGUUUUAUGGGCCUGGUAUCCAAGCGGAAAACGGUGGCGCAGGAAGAAGAUCGAGCCUCAGUGCUGUGAUUUUGAGGAUUUGAGCGUAGAGUGCUGUUCAGAAGUUGGUUAUAGCGAACAGACACGUGUUAUGAGCUGCAGUUUGGAGCGGCUUGGGGCGCCGCGUGUGGCCGGCCGCGCUGAAGUUGACUUCCGCCCGAAAGCUAUGCUGAGAGGAGCAAUGUCGCCGUUUUGUAGAGGUAUAUCGGAAUGUUUACGUGCAAAUGCCAAGUUGCGUGAGAAAAUUCCAAAGCUUCUGCCACAAUCGUUAAUGGAAAAAUACAUACUCAAAACUUGA
rnacentral:lncRNA from 1 species